AUGUAAUGGGUCAGGUUGUCGAUC
rnacentral:siRNA from 1 species